UACGGAGGGUGCGAGCGUUGUCCGGAAUCACUGGGCGUAAAGGGCGCGUAGGCGGCGCGGAUAGUCGGCGGUGAAAGCCCGGAGCUCAACUCCGGGUCGGCCGUCGAUACUUCCGGGCUUGAGCACUGUAGAGGCAGAUGGAAUUCCGGGUGUGGCGGUGGAAUGCGUAGAGAUCCGGAAGAACACCGGUGGCGAAGGCGGUCUGCUGGGCAGUUGCUGACGCUGAUGCGCGACAGCGUGGGGAGCAAACAGG
rnacentral:rRNA from 1 species